rnacentral:rRNA from 1 species
UGGUACGUGAGCUGGGUUUAAAACGUCGUGAGACAGUUUGGUCCCUAUCUUUCGUGGGCGUAGGAUAUUUGAGAGGAUCUGUUCCUAGUACGAGAGGACCGGAAUGGACGAACCAAUGGUGUUCCAGUUGUCGCGCCAGCGGCAUUGCUGGGUAGCUAAGUUCGGAAUGGAUAACCGCUGAAAGCAUCUAAGCGGGAAGCCGACCUCAAGAUAAGAUAUCCCUUAAGUAUGGAAACAUACUUAACUGAAGACCCCUUGAAGACCACAAGGUUGAUAGGCCAGAUGUGUAAGUGCGGCAACGCAUUUAGCUUACUGGUACUAAUAGGUCGUGAGGCUUGGCCAC